UGGUGCUUGCAUCAUGAUUUACAUUUGAGUGAGUGGCGAACUGGUGAGUAACACGUGGGAAACCUGCCCAGAAGCGGGGGAUAACACCUGGAAACAGAUGCUAAUACCGCAUAACAACUUGGACCGCAUGGUCCGAGCUUGAAAGAUGGCUUCGGCUAUCACUUUUGGAUGGUCCCGCGGCGUAUUAGCUAGAUGGUGGGGUAACGGCUCACCAUGGCAAUGAUACGUAGCCGACCUGAGAGGGUAAUCGGCCACAUUGGGACUGAGACACGGCCCAAACUCCUACGGGAGGCAGCAGUAGGGAAUCUUCCACAAUGGACGAAAGUCUGAUGGAGCAACGCCGCGUGAGUGAAGAAGGGUUUCGGCUCGUAAAACUCUGUUGUUAAAGAAGAACAUAUCUGAGAGUAACUGUUCAGGUAUUGACGGUAUUUAACCAGAAAGCCACGGCUAACUACGUGCCAGCAGCCGCGGUAAUACGUAGGUGGCAAGCGUUGUCCGGAUUUAUUGGGCGUAAAGCGAGCGCAGGCGGUUUUUUAAGUCUGAUGUGAAAGCCUUCGGCUCAACCGAAGAAGUGCAUCGGAAACUGGGAAACUUGAGUGCAGAAGAGGACAGUGGAACUCCAUGUGUAGCGGUGAAAUGCGUAGAUAUAUGGAAGAACACCAGUGGCGAAGGCGGCUGUCUGGUCUGUAACUGACGCUGAGGCUCGAAAGUAUGGGUAGCAAACAGGAUUAGAUACCCUGGUAGUCCAUACCGUAAACGAUGAAUGCUAAGUGUUGGAGGGUUUCCGCCCUUCAGUGCUGCAGCUAACGCAUUAAGCAUUCCGCCUGGGGAGUACGGCCGCAAGGCUGAAACUCAAAGGAAUUGACGGGGGCCCGCACAAGCGGUGGAGCAUGUGGUUUAAUUCGAAGCUACGCGAAGAACCUUACCAGGUCUUGACAUACUAUGCAAAUCUAAGAGAUUAGACGUUCCCUUCGGGGACAUGGAUACAGGUGGUGCAUGGUUGUCGUCAGCUCGUGUCGUGAGAUGUUGGGUUAAGUCCCGCAACGAGCGCAACCCUUAUUAUCAGUUGCCAGCAUUAAGUUGGGCACUCUGGUGAGACUGCCGGUGACAAACCGGAGGAAGGUGGGGAUGACGUCAAAUCAUCAUGCCCCUUAUGACCUGGGCUACACACGUGCUACAAUGGAUGGUACAACGAGUUGCGAACUCGCGAGAGUAAGCUAAUCUCUUAAAGCCAUUCUCAGUUCGGAUUGUAGGCUGCAACUCGCCUACAUGAAGUCGGAAUCGCUAGUAAUCGCGGAUCAGCAUGCCGCGGUGAAUACGUUCCCGGGCCUUGUACACACCGCCCGUCACACCAUGAGAGUUUGUAACACCCAAAGUCGGUGG
rnacentral:rRNA from 2 species